ACCAUACGUGAUCAAAAGUAGCGGAGACUUGGUCAAUUAAGCUCCUUAACAUUGCUUUGAAAUAAUGUGGAGAUUGUAGUGUGUGGAUCUAUUUGUGUGAGUGUUAUGAUUGACACAUUCUUUAACUAAUCGACUCGAUUGCAAGCCAUACUUUUCAUAAUAUCGAGAUUGAUGUAUUUAGACAUUUUUUACAGUCCACAUGUUUAUAGGUAGCAAGUGAAUCACUGUUUUCCUUUGCCUAAAAUGUUGUAUUUUUUGUUGAAUAAUUUAUCUAUAAAUGUAAGGACUCUUGAGAACAUACAUUAAUUCAUUCACCUUUUUCUUUGCAUGAACCCGCUUGGGAGUCCCAUUGGACUCUCACAUUAUGAAUUGGGCCAUUGAGGCCCACCCCCUUUAGAAGACUUUGAACGCUGAUUAUAAAGAACAAGUAAGAGGAGUCGAAAAAAGAAGAAGGGGUCGAAAUCCCACAUUCGAAGUGGCUAAGAGACAAAAGUCUCAUUUGUUAUUUUAUUUUAUUUUAGUUAAUCAUUGUUGUCCUUGUUU
rnacentral:lncRNA from 1 species